rnacentral:rRNA from 1 species
CUACGAGUUGCAGCAGUGAGGAAUAUUGCACAAUGGGGGGAACCCUGAUGCAGCAACGCCGCGUGGAGGAUGACGCAUUUCGGUGUGUAAACUCCUUUUAUAUGUCAAGAGAAUGACGGUAGCAUAUGAAUAAGCACCGGCUAACUCCGUGCCAGCAGUCGCGGUAAUACGGAGGGUGCAAGCGUUACUCGGAAUCACUGGGCGUAAAGGACGCGUAGGCGGGUUGGAAAGUCAGGUGUGAAAUCCUACAGCUUAACUGUAGAACUGCACUUGAAACUUCUAAUCUAGAGUAUGGGAGGGGGAGAUGGAAUUAGUGGUGUAGGGGUAAAAUCCGUAGAUAUCACUAGGAAUACCUAAAGCGAAGGCGAUCUCCUGGAACAUUACUGACGCUAAGGCGUGAAAGCGUGGGGAGCAAACAGGAUUAGAUACCCCCGUAGUC